rnacentral:rRNA from 1 species
CCCUUGUCUUUUGCGUACUUCUUGUUUCCUUGGUGGGUUCGCCCACCACUAGGACAAACAUAAACCUUUUGUAAUUGCAAUCAGCGUCAGUAACAAAUUAAUAAUUACAACUUUCAACAACGGAUCUCUUGGUUCUGGCAUCGAUGAAGAACGCAGCGAAAUGCGAUAAGUAGUGUGAAUUGCAGAAUUCAGUGAAUCAUCGAAUCUUUGAACGCACAUUGCGCCCUUUGGUAUUCCAAAGGGCAUGCCUGUUCGAGCGUCAUUUGUACCCUCAAGCUUUGCUUGGUGUUGGGCGUCUUGUCUCUAGCUUUGCUGGAGACUCGCCUUAAAGUAAUUGGCAGCCGGCCUACUGGUUUCGGAGCGCAGCACAAGUCGCACUCUCUAUCAGCAAAGGUCUAGCAUCCAUUAAGCCUUUUUUUCAACUUUUGACCUCGGAUCAGGUAGGGAUACCCGCUGAAC